rnacentral:misc_RNA from 1 species
GAUGAAGAACGUAGCGAAAUGCGAUAAGUAAUGUGAAUUGCAGAAUUCAGUGAAUCAUCGAAUCUUUGAACGCACAUUGCGCCCGCCAGUAUUCUGGCGGGCAUGCCUGUUCGAGCGUCAUUUCAACCCUCAGGCCCCCAGUGCCUGGUGUUGGGGAUCGGCCCAGCCUUCCUGUAAGGCCGCCGGCCCCGAAAUCUAGUGGCGGUCUCGCUGUAGUCCUCCUCUGCGUAGUAGCACAACCUCGCAGUUGGAACGCGGCGGUGGCCAUGCCGUUAAACACCCCACUUCUGAAAGUUGACCUCGGUUCAGGUAGGAAUACCCGCUGAACUUAAGCAUAUCAAUAAGCGGAGGA